rnacentral:snoRNA from 1 species
GGAUCGAUGAUGACACCCACAAACGCAUUCCUUGGAAAAUCUGAACAAAAUGAGUGAGAACUCACUACCGUCUCCUCAUCGCAAACUGAGUCC